GACGAAGGGGGGCUAGCGUUGUUCGGAAUUACUGGGCGUAAAGCGAGUGUAGGCGGUUGCCCAAGUCAGGUGUGAAAGCCUUGAGCUCAACUCAAGAAAUGCACUUGGUACUGGGUGGCUAGAGGACCGGAGAGGAUAGUGGAAUUCCCAGUGUAGUGGUGAAAUACGUAGAGAUUGGGAAGAACACCAGUGGCGAAGGCGGCUAUCUGGACGGUUACUGACGCUAAGACUCGAAAGCGUGGGGAGCAAACAGG
rnacentral:rRNA from 1 species